rnacentral:rRNA from 1 species
ACGGGAGGCAGCAGUAGGGAAUAUUGCACAAUGGGGGAAACCCUGAUGCAGCGACGCCGCGUGAGUGAUGAAGUAUUUCGGUAUGUAAAGCUCUAUCAGCAGGGAAGAUAAUGACGGUACCUGACUAAGAAGCCCCGGCUAACUACGUGCCAGCAGCCGCGGUAAUACGUAGGGGGCAAGCGUUAUCCGGAUUUACUGGGUGUAAAGGGUGCGUAGGCGGCUUGUCAAGUCAGAGGUGAAAGCCCGGAGCCCAACUCCGGAACUGCCUUUGAUACUGUCAGGCUUGAAUUCGGAUGCCGUGGGAGGAAUGAGUAGUGUAGCGGUGAAAUGCAUAGAUAUUACUCAGAACACCGAUUGCGAAGGCAUCUCACGAAUCCGACAUUGACGCUGAGGCACGAAAGCGUGGGGAUCAAACAGGAUUAGAUACCCUGGUA